AAAGUCGUAACAAGGUUUCCGUAGGUGAACCUGCGGAAGGAUCAUUACCGAAAACUGUGCACCCCAGUGCACACACACCCCCCUCUUGGUGGUUGGCCACUCGUCAACUGGCUGCCACCGGAGUCUGUCAUAUGAUAAUCAGCCCGGCACAUUGCCCACAUCGGGUCGUGAGGUCGAAACCCUCGUCCGCUCUCGGCCUGAUUGGGGGCGCGGGUGCUCAUUUGAGAGGGGCACCUCUUGAUCUUGGUGCUCAUCAUCACAUGGUGGGAUGGGUCCUUUUUCAAGAUGUCGUCGUUGGUUGGAUGGCAGAUUUCUCCCCACACACACACACACAAAAACCCUGUCAUCGUAUGGUGUUGAACUUAAACAUAUAAUAUAACUUUCAACAACGGAUCUCUUGGCUCUC
rnacentral:misc_RNA from 1 species